GAUUUUGCUUUUAUCUAUUUCAGUUUUGAAUUCCUUUUUAUCUGGAAAUCCCUUUUUGAUUUGAUCCCUUCUUAUCAACAUUCUUUGUAUCUUUCUUGUAAGACGAACUAUCUCUUUAUCAACAUCUUCUUGUUCGAUUUCUUCUGAGUCCUCAUCUGUUUGUAAUGGUGUACUUUCUUGAGAUGCUUUCAAAGCUAUU
rnacentral:lncRNA from 1 species